CUCCCUGAUGAAUGGCACUGGGCUCCGACAGCUACAAGAUUAGCUGGUCUUGAUGGACAUGCCCCAUUGAGGCAGGCCUAGAAAACCUCGCCCACUGACC
rnacentral:snoRNA from 1 species